ACCACGCUGGCGCGGCUGAUUGCGCGUUUCUUCGACGUGAACCAGGGCGGCGUGCUGGUCGGCGGCGUGGAC
rnacentral:tRNA from 1 species